rnacentral:rRNA from 1 species
GAGAAACCCAAAAGAUCGAAUGGGGAGAUUCAUCGUCAGCUUAUAUUGUAUAUAUGCAGGUUAUGAUAUGGGUUACUAUACUUAUUUGUGUAGUAUUGCUUAUACAUUCUUGUAUUAUUUAUUUGCAAUAUAUUGGUCGGCGUGCACUUCUCCCCUAGUAGAAUAUCGCGACCCGUUGAGUUGUGUUAUUAUUAUACUUAAGAUUAAUCUACGGCCCAAGUGAUAGCUCUUAAUAAAUAAAUUUAUUUUUAUUUAUUAAAAAUCCUUGGUGUUACCUGAUUAACACUUGGCGGUAUUCAUAUGGUAUUAAGCCGCAUUAUAUUUAAUAUGCGUCCUAUCUUACACAAGCAAGAUUAGUUUUAUACUGAUAGUACGGACUUGGUGCCGUCGUUGGUACUAAUCAGCUGUUCGUUGUAUAGAUAUCUAGGACUGGCUUUUAACAAAAAUAUAUAAUUACCAGUCAGCGAUGCUACUGCUUUGGGUACUUUCAGGACCCGUCUUGAAACACGGACCAAGGAGUCUAACAUGUACGCGAGUCAUUGGGAUUUAUAUAAAUUAAACCUAAAGGCGUAAUGAAAGUAAAGAUUGACCUUGUGUUGAUUAAGGGAAGAUGGGCUAUGUUAUAUAUUAUAAAAUAUAGCUUCGCACUCCCGGGGCGUCUCAUUCUCAUUAUGAGAAGANGCGCACCUAGAGCGUACACGUUGG